rnacentral:pre_miRNA from 1 species
AAAAACUUGGAAACUACCGUUGGAUCGAGAAAUGGAUGUCCGAGAUUCAUCCACGUCAUCGUGAGUUAAAAUUUAACUCCCAGUAAAAUUUUAACUCCCAGUAAAAUUUUAACUCAUGAGUGAAUCCGCGAGUUAAAUUUUAACUCAAGGUGACGUGGAAGAAUUUCAGACGUCCAUUUCUCGAUCCAACGGUAGUUUCCAAGUUUCC